rnacentral:rRNA from 1 species
UACGGAGGGGGCUAGCGUUGUUCGGAAUUACUGGGCGUAAAGCGCACGUAGGCGGCUUUGCAAGUUAGAGGUGAAAGCCCGGAGCUUAACUCCGGAAUUGCCUUUAAAACUGCAUCGCUAGAAUUGUGGAGAGGUGAGUGGAAUUCCGAGUGUAGAGGCGAAAUUCGUAGAUAUUCGGAAGAACACCAGUGGCGAAGGCGACUCACUGGACACAUAUUGACGCUGAGGUGCGAAAGCGUGGGGAGCAAACAGG